rnacentral:tRNA from 1 species
GGAGCGAUGGUGUAGUUGGUUAUCACGUCUGUCUAACAUUCACAGACGGUCCUCAGUUCGAACCUGGGUCGCUUCA